GGAAGAACCUUCGGUGGCGAAAGGACGGCUUGCUGGACGAUAUACUGGCGCUAAAGGCUCGGAAGCGUGGGAAGCGAACAGGAUUAGAUAACCCUGGUAGUCCACGCUGUUAAACGAUGAACACUUGGGUGUUGGGAGGGUAAAGCCUUUCAGUGCCCGCAGCAAACGCAAUAAGUGUUCCACCUGGGGAGUACGUUCGGCAAGAAUUGAAACUCAAAAGGAAUUGACGGGGACCCGCACAAGCGGUGGAGCAUGUGGGUUUAAAUUCGAAGCAACGCGAAAGAACCUUACCAAGUCUUGACAUCCCCUGUGACAGUAUAUGUAAUGUAUAUUUUCUACGGAACACAGGAGACAGGUGGUGCAUGGUUGUCGUCAGCUCGUGUCGUGAGAUGUUGGGUUAAGUCCCGCAACGAGCGCAACCCUUGUACUUAGUAGCCAGCAUUAAGGUGGGCACUCUAAGUAGACUGCCGGGGUGAACCCGGAGGAAGGUGGGGAUGACGUCAAAUCAUCAUGCCCCUUAUGACCUGGGCUACACACGUGCUACAAUGGACGGUACAACGAGAAGCGAACCUGCGAAGGCAAGCGGAUCUCUGAAAGCCGUUCUCAGUUCGGACUGUAGGCUGCAACUCGCCUACACGAAGCUGGAAUCGCUAGUAAUCGCGGAUCAGCACGCCGCGGUGAAUACGUUCCCGGGCCUUGUACACACCGCCCGUCACACCA
rnacentral:rRNA from 1 species